AUUGAACGCUGGCGGCAUGCUCUACACAUGCAAGUCGAACGGUAACAGGCCGCAAGGUGCUGACGAGUGGCGAACGGGUGAGUAAUGCAUCGGAACGUGCCCAGUCGUGGGGGAUAACUACUCGAAAGAGUAGCUAAUACCGCAUACGAUCUAUGGAUGAAAGCGGGGGACCGUAAGGCCUCGCGCGAUUGGAGCGGCCGAUGUCAGAUUAGGUAGUUGGUGGGGUAAAGGCUCACCAAGCCAACGAUCUGUAGCUGGUCUGAGAGGACGACCAGCCACACUGGGACUGAGGCACGGCCCAGACUCCUACGGGAGGCAGCAGUGGGGAAUUUUGGACAAUGGGCGCAAGCCUGAUCCAGCAAUGCCGCGUGCAGGAAGAAGGCCUUCGGGUUGUAAACUGCUUUUGUACGGAACGAAACGGCUCUGGUUAAUACCCGGGGCUAAUGACGGUACCGUAAGAAUAAGCACCGGCUAACUACGUG
rnacentral:rRNA from 1 species